rnacentral:lncRNA from 1 species
AAAUUUUGCUCAUUCUUCAAGACUGAUUGAGGAAGGUGCGAAAUAAACCACCUAGAUAAUAAAGGUACGCAGCACAUGAGAGUCCCUUGCCUUUUCAUAGUACGAGUGUGAAGGGAAUGCAAAAUGUCUCCAAGCAAGGUGGGCACAGGGUUAUGAGUGAGAAAUAUCUUAACAGCAUUCAUGUCUAUGAAUUGAUCCGGAUUAGGAAAUAGCACCAAACCAUAGAUUAGUAAGGCUAGAACAUCUUCGAAA